AAAACUUUCAACAACGGAUCUCUUCGGCUCUGGCAUCGAUGAAGAACGCAGCGAAAUGCGAUAAGUAAUGUGAAUUGCAGAAUCCAGUGAAUCAUCGAAUCUUUGAACGCACAUUGCGCCCGCCAGCAUUCUGGCGGGCAUGCCUGUUCGAGCGUCAUUUC
rnacentral:rRNA from 1 species